AGGCGAAAUGAUGGCUUCUAUCUUUUCGGGUCUCGUAUGUAAUGAAGAGAAACCUCUUUACUGAUCACUU